CGGAGAGGUUGCUUGCAUAUCUAAGUAAAGAGGCCGAGCAGAGAUUUUCACGCCUUUUACUGUGACGACUCCCUGAUCCUCAAACGCUUCUGGAGUCGGAGCGACAACGGCUGCACCGGCGGCGGUGGAGAUGCCGCGGGGAGCGGAAGUGUUGGCGGUCCUCGCUAAAGUUCGGCGACAGGAGGAAGCUAGAAGCUUCGAGGCCAUUGCUUAACUGCUAG
rnacentral:misc_RNA from 1 species